rfam:Serratia fonticola strain DSM 4576, complete genome.
CUGAGCGGAGUGCGGUGAAAGUCGCACGCUCCGUUCUUAGGGGAGGAUGGGCCAGUAAUGGCCUGCCCUUACCCGAC